rnacentral:rRNA from 1 species
CGGGUUGUAAAGCACUUUCAGUUGUGAGGAAGGUGGUGUCGUUAAUAGCGGCAUCAUUUGACGUUUAGCAACAGAAGAAAGCACCGGCUAACUCCGUGCCAGCAGCGCGGUAAUACGGAGGGUGCGAGCGUUAAUCGGAAUUACUGGGCGUAAAGACGCAUGCAGGUGGUUUGUUAAGUUCAGAUGUGAAAGACCCGGGCGUCAACCUCGGAAUAGCAUUUGUAAACUAGGCAGACUAGAGUACUGUAGAGGGGGUAGGAAUUUCAGGUGUAGCGGUGAAAUAGCGUAGAGAUCUGAAGGAAUACCGGUGGCGAAGGCGGCCCCUCGGACAGAUACUGACACUCAGAUGCGAAAGCGUGGGGAGCAAACAGGAUUAGAUACCCUGGUAG